CCGGCUGCGCGGGUGGUGCGGGCGCUGUGGCCUGGUGGGUGCGCCUUGGCCUGGAGGCUGGGAGGCCGCCCCCAGCCGCUGCUACCCACGCAGAGCCGGGCUGGCUUCGCGGGGGCGGCGGGCGGCCCGAGCCCCGUGGCUGCAGCUCGUAAGGGGAGCCCGCGGCUGCUGGGAGCUGCGGCGCUGGCCCUGGGGGGAGCCCUGGGGCUGUACCACACGGCGCGGUGGCACCUGCGCGCCCAGGACCUCCACGCAGAGCGCUCAGCCGCGCAGCUCUCCCUGUCCAGCCGCCUGCAGCUGACCCUGUACCAGUACAAGACGUGUCCCUUCUGCAGCAAGGUCCGAGCCUUCCUCGACUUCCAUGCCCUGCCCUACCAGGUGGUGGAGGUGAACCCUGUGCGCAGGGCUGAGAUCAAGUUCUCCUCCUACAGAAAGGUGCCCAUCCUGGUGGCCCAGGAAGGAGAAAGCUCGGGACGGCAGAUAUGAAAUGCCUGGCACAGUGCUUGGGGUCUAGUAUGUAGCUUCCAGAACCCACCCUGCCCCUCUACCUGGGAGGCCAAAUGGCAACAACUAAAUGACUCCUCUGUCAUCAUCAGCGCCCUCAAGACCUACCUGGUGUCGGGGUAAGGAGCCCCUCGGAGACCAGGUGGCCAUUGCUUUUGGUGGCUUCCUCCAGGGAGGCCUCCCCUGAGUUCCCUCCUGGGAGCACGUGGAGCUGCUGCUUAGAUUUCCAGAGUACAGAGUGGCUCGCACCUGUAAUCCCAGCACUUUGGGAGGCCGAGGC
rnacentral:lncRNA from 1 species